AGAUUGAACGCUGGCGGCAGGCCUAACACAUGCAAGUCGAGCGGUAGAGAGGUGCUUGCACCUCUUGAGAGCGGCGGACGGGUGAGUAAUGCCUAGGAAUCUGCCUAGUGGUGGGGGAUAACGUUCGGAAACGGACGCUAAUACCGCAUACGUCCUACGGGAGAAAGCGGGGACCUUCGGGCCUCGCGCCAUUAGAUGAGCCUAGGUCGGAUUAGCUAGUUGGUGAGGUAAUGGCUCACCAAGGCGACGAUCCGUAACUGGUCUGAGAGGAUGAUCAGUCACACUGGAACUGAGACACGGUCCAGACUCCUACGGGAGCAGCAGUGGGGGAAUAUUGG
rnacentral:rRNA from 1 species